ACUCAGGAUAGCUCAGCUGGUAGAACAUGAGACUUUUAAUCUCAAGGUUGUGGGUUCAAGCCCCACAUUUGGCG